rnacentral:rRNA from 1 species
CUAAUCUCUUAAAGCCGUUCUCAGUUCGGACUNUAGGCUGCAACUCGCCUACACGAAGUCGGAAUCGCUAGUAAUCGCGGAUCAGCAUGCCGCGGUGAAUACGUUCCCGGGCCUUGUACACACCGCCCGUCACACCAUGGAAGUUUGCAAUGCCCAAAGUCGGUGGCCUAACCAUUUGGAGGGAACCGCCUAAGGCAGGGCAGAUGACUGGGGUGAAGUCGUAACAAGGUACC